CGGCAGGCCUAACACAUGCAAGUCGAGGGGUAACAUAAAGUGCUUGCACUUUGAUGACGACCGGCGCACGGGUGAGUAACGCGUAUACAAUCUGCCUCAUACUAGGGGAUAGCCCAGAGAAAUUUGGAUUAAUACCCUAUAGUAUCAUUUAGAGUCAUCUCUUCUUGAUUAAAGGUUACGGUAUGAGAUGAGUAUGCGUUCUAUUAGUUAGUAGGUGAGGUAACGGCUCACCUAGACCACGAUAGAUAGGGGCCCUGAGAGGGGGAUCCCCCACACUGGUACUGAGACACGGACCAGACUCCUACGGGAGGCAGCAGUGAGGAAUAUUAGACAAUGGGCGAAAGCCUGAUCUAGCCAUGCCGCGUGCAGGAUGACGGCCCUAUGGGUUGUAAACUGCUUUUAUACAGGAAGAAAAAACUCUACGUGUAGAGUCUUGACGGUACUGUAAGAAUAAGGAUCG
rnacentral:rRNA from 1 species